UACGAAGGUGGCAAGCGUUACUCGGAAUUACUAGGCGUAAAGGGCAGGUAGGUGGUUUGGUAAGUCUGUUGUGAAAGCUCCUUGCUUAACGGGGAGAGGCCAACAGAUACUGCCAGGCUUGAGUAUGGGAGAGGGUACUGGAAUUCCCGGUGUAGCGGUGAAAUGCGCAGAGAUCGGGAGGAACACCAAUGGCGAAAGCAGGUACCUGGACCAUUACUGACACUCAGCUGCGAAAGCUAGGGGAGCAAACGGG
rnacentral:rRNA from 1 species